CGAAAGCCUGGCGGAGCAAUACCGCGUGAGGGAGGAAGGCCUUUGGGUUGUAAACCUCAAAAAAUAGGGAAGAAAAAAAUGACGGUACCUAAAAUAAGCAUCGGCUAACUCCGUGCCAGCAGCCGCGGUAAUACGGAGGAGGCAAGCGUUAUCCGGAAUUAUUGGGCGUAAAGCGUCCGCAGGUGGCGAUUCAAGUCUGCUGUCAAAGCACGGGGCUUAACUCCGUAAAGGCAGUGGAAACUGAAUAGCUAGAGUGCCGUAGGGGUAGAGGGAAUUCCCGGUGUAGCGGUGAAAUGCGUAGAGAUCGGGAAGAACAUCGGUGGCGAAAGCGCUCUACCGGACGGCAACCGACACUCAGGGACGAAAGCUAGGGGAGCG
rnacentral:rRNA from 1 species